GCCGGAUGGCCUAUCGGCCGGCCCCGCCUUCCUAUUUCUUCGCUGGCCCGGUCCCGGAGCUAAACCCUCUGCGUUAGCACUGAACUCAAGAGGAGCAGGGUCGAGGGCUACACACAAGAAUGGAGACCUGGCCUCUGAACGGGAGUAACGGCCCACAGUCCCCGCCGGUGGGAUCCCGGCAGCGAGCUCAGUGGCAAUAGUAGCCACCUGUCCUCCCAGGAGGAUCCCAAGCCCUCCAUGGAGUGGCUCAGAAUGAGGGAGGAGGGUUCAGGCAAGGAAGACCACAAAGAUGAUGAAGAAGACAAUGAGGAUGAGGAAGAUUUUGACCAUGAGCCACCGAUUGGAGGUAACUGACUGGAAGUACUUGAGGAUCUCUGAAUGGGCUGCCUCCACAUCCAGCUGGGCUCCAAGCACAUUCUCGUCGAUCCUGGAGACAGCCAGGAGAUAAACAGAAGGACACUGGGUUAAAAAGAAGAUUGAAGACAUCCAUUUAUUGAUAUGGAAAGGUGAUUACAAUAUGUGGAAGUAAAAAGUGUUUCAUACUGUG